rnacentral:tRNA from 1 species
UGAUAUAGUGGUUAAAUGCUCGGCUGCUAACUGAGAGGUUGGUGGUUUGAACCCACC